ensembl:snoRNA
UUCCAUAGUACAGAGUUCAGGUCGGAGCAGCCUUUCUGUUCUAUUAAUUAAACUCUGGGACAUUGACGUGGUCUAUGAGAUCACUGGUUAGAUGGGAUCAUUCUACUCACUUACACUCAGCCUACAAAA